GCUCAAGAGGGUACCUGUACUUAUUAGCCAAAAAUAUACACACUAAUUGCAUGGGUGUUUACAGAACACUAUGCCAAUGGGGCUGUUUUUCACCCUGGAUGUGUGAUCUGAGCACUAAGUGUCUCAACUAACUGGGUUGGGCCACUUUGACUUGUUAAAAAGAGUCCACAGAGCGGCUAAACUGAACUGGACUUGUUCCCAGACCCUCAGCACCCCUCCGUAUGUAACGUUUUAAUAACGUCACUUCUGCCCGUGCCUGUUACAGCAGAGAGACCUCCACGACGCUCUACCACCCUCAGAAGAAAGUUCUUCACGCUGGGGCGAAACUUCUUAUGGUUGAGUUUAUGGGCGCUGCUCCCCGGCGGUGCUGAGAGGAGUUCUUACAGGGGACACUCAAACAAAGUGGGUAAUGUCAGUAAGCAAAGAAAACACCCCGUGUAAAAGUACUAAGAUUUCAGAUGAAAGCAAGGAAGAGAGUAUUUGUACAAUGUGCAAAAAUGAAGAAAUUCUUUUAGAAAAGAUCAGACUUAAGAUUGGUGAGCGGAUGGAUUUAAAUGCUGACUUGUUUAAUGAAAAAUUAGAAAGUUUAAAGAGAAGAGUCGAACAACUGGAAUGCACAAAUACCUAUGAAGAAAUAAGUAAAAUAUUCCUGCAGAAGAAAGUAGCAAAACUGGAGAGAUGUAUUGAUGCUGUGGUAGCAGCUCAGGGGGAAGUGUUCCCAGAACCAACUGUUGCUCAGAAUGAAAGGAAGGAAAGAGAACCCCAACAGAUCCAUAUAGAAGAAGAAAACCACAAUGAUAGUGAAGGUAAAAGCAAAAUUUUGAAGUUUACUUUUCAGCAUCUCCCUAAGUUUAUUGGCUGAAGUGUAACUGUGUAGAAAUGUAGGUAACCAUAAGGAGAAGAUAAUUCUGUGGCAGCACAACACCUUUUCCAUUGCUGUAUUGGGGUUACCUGUCAAGGUUUUGGUCUUGGAGGAUGCAGGGGUGGCUUCUGUGAGAACAGAUCAGGAUCUGUGGGAUCACCCGGCAGAGCCAUUUCUAGCCCACCCAAAAUGGACCUUCCACUGGCCAAAGGUGAGUUUAAAUUGUGGAUCUGCAUCCUGCAGGACGGUUAGAGCUUGAGGGAAAGUUAAGCUUUUUAAAGACUUGUUUCGUGUGGGAAAGGAACAGCGUUUGAACAGUUGGGCUUUGAAGGAGAAGGCUUCUCUUUGGCCACGAGGAGGCUCCAUUGUAACAAGAUUGGAACAGUAAAACAUUUUUCGACAGAAGCAAGUAAGGGAUGCCAGGAGAUACCAUCGUCAGAAAUAAACACACUAAAACCCCAAAACCUGUUCCA
rnacentral:lncRNA from 1 species